GUUAACUUUCUACCAGUAGGCUUCAUGCCAGGCGAGGUAUCAUUUUUCCCUCCACGGCCAACCUAAAGGUGUAAUGCUGCCCUAAGCUUUCUAUAAUUUCCUGUAGCAAAUUCUCCAGAGAGGUGGCUGUGUACCUGUGCCUGACACAAGGCACAUGCAUUGCAGGUGAGCCAUAGCACAUAGUGUAAAACUGGAAAUCUGGGAGAUAUAUGUAUCUGAAGCUGGGUUUGCCUGGGUGAAGCCUUCACAGCCCUUCAGGAGUUUUGGAGUACCUGGGCCUAGCAUGAGGCUGAAGCUAAGAUCAUGUGCCCUACAGAAAAACAGAAGUCUGGCAUUGCUUCCUGUGAGAGCCGAAAGCCUGGAACUGGAGCCAAAGGAUUAUGUUAGCUUCAUACAAUUACCCAUGCUGAUGUUUGCAUUGGUUUUGAUGAGACUCUUAGUACCUGCAAGUCUGAAGCUGACUCUUACCUCUCUUCUGUCCGAUACCACAACUAAUUUUGGAGUGAGGAAGAGAACAUGCACCAGGUCUGGCACAAAAUAUCAUUAUGGAACCUCUGAUUCCAUUACAGCCGUGGAGAGCAGAACGAAGUCAAGGUCCAUUCUGUCAGAGGAGUGUCCUCCAGGUGCAGUGUGUGGAAAUGAAGGAGGGG
ensembl:lncRNA